rnacentral:miRNA from 1 species
UUUCCUCUUAUUCAUCCCUCU